rnacentral:tRNA from 1 species
GCGGGCGUGGCGGAACAGGCAGACGCAAGGGACUUAAAAUCCCUCACCGAUACGGUAUGCGGGUUCGAAUCCCGCCGCCCGCACCA